GACGAACGCUGGCGGCGUGCUUAACACAUGCAAGUCGAACGGAAAGGCCCUGCUUUUGUGGGGUGCUCGAGUGGCGAACGGGUGAGUAACACGUGAGUAACCUGCCCUUGACUUUGGGAUAACUUCAGGAAACUGGGGCUAAUACCGGAUAGGAGCUCCUGCUGCAUGGUGGGGGUUGGAAAGUUUCGGCGGUUGGGGAUGGACUCGCGGCUUAUCAGCUUGUUGGUGGGGUAGUGGCUUACCAAGGCUUUGACGGGUAGCCGGCCUGAGAGGGUGACCGGCGACAUUGGGACUGAGAUAGGGACCAGACUCCUACGGGAGGCAGCAGUGGGGAAUAUUGCACAAUGGGCGGAAGCCGGAUGCAGCAACGCCGCGUUCGGGAUGACGGCCUGCGGGUUGUAAACCGCUUUCGCCUGUGACGAAGCGUGAGUGACGGUAAUGGGUAAAGAAGCACCGGCUAACUACGUG
rnacentral:rRNA from 1 species